rnacentral:rRNA from 1 species
AGGCCUACCAUGGUUUUAACGGGUAACGGGGAAUUAGGGUUCGAUUCCGGAGAGGGAGCCUGAGAAACGGCUACCACAUCCAAGGAAGGCAGCAGGCGCGCAAAUUACCCAAUCCCGAUACGGGGAGGUAGUGACAAUAAAUAACAAUACAGGGCUCUUAUGGGUCUUGUAAUUGGAAUGAGUACAAUUUAAAUCCCUUAACGAGGAACAAUUGGAGGGCAAGUCUGGUGCCAGCAGCCGCGGUAAUUCCAGCUCCAAUAGCGUAUAUUAAAGUUGUUGCAGUUAAAAAGCUCGUAGUUGAAUUUCGGGGUUCUACCGUUGGUCGGGCAAUAGUCUGUACUGGCGUGUAGAAUUUCUACCUUCUGGGGAACCAUCAUGUUAUUAAUUUAGCGUGGUGGGAAACCAGGACCUUUACCUUGAAAAAAUUAGAGUGUUCAAAGCAGGCUUACGUCUGAAUACAUUAGCAUGGAAUAAUAAAAUAGGACGGUGGUCCUGUUUUGUUGGUUUCUGAAUCACCGUAAUGAUUAAUAGGGAUAGUUGGGGGCAUUAGUAUUCAAUUGUCAGAGGUGAAAUUCUUGGAUUUAUUGAAGACUAACUUCUGCGAAAGCAUUUGCCAAGGAUGUUUUCAUUAAUCAAGAACGAAAGUUAGGGGAUCGAAGACGAUCAGAUACCGUCGUAGUCUUAACCAUAAACUAUGCCGACUAGGGAUCGGACGAUGUUAAUUUUUCUUGACUCGUUCGGCGCCUUAC